rnacentral:rRNA from 1 species
GACGAACGCUGGCGGCGUGCUUAACACAUGCAAGUCGAACGGAAAGGCCCUGCUUUUGUGGGGUGCUCGAGUGGCGAACGGGUGAGUAACACGUGAGUAACCUGCCCUUGACUUUGGGAUAACUUCAGGAAACUGGGGCUAAUACCGGAUAGGAGCUCCUGCUGCAUGGUGGGGGUUGGAAAGUUUCGGCGGUUGGGGAUGGACUCGCGGCUUAUCAGCUUGUUGGUGGGGUAGUGGCUUACCAAGGCUUUGACGGGUAGCCGGCCUGAGAGGGUGGCCGGCCACAAUGGGACUGAGGGACGGCCCAGACGCCUAUGGGAGGCAGUAGUGGGGAAUAUUGCACAAUGGGCGGAAGUGUGAUGCAGCAACGCCGCGUGCGGGAUGACGGCCUUCGGGUGGUAAACCGCUGUCGCCUUUGACGAAGCGGGAGUGACGGUAACGGGUAAAGAAGCACCGGCUAACUACGUG